rnacentral:lncRNA from 1 species
AUCUGACUUAACAAUUUAUAUAGAGAAAUAAAACUUAAAAUGCACUCAUCUUAAAUAUUUAAGUAAAAAGGAAGGCAAAUGUUAAUCUGAAAAGACAAACCAAGAUUUUUAAAAGAAAAAGUUCACUUUUAUUUUCAUUCCAUUCCAGUUUAGAAAAAUAGAAUUUCAGGUUUUGUCAGGUAUAAACAUGACAUCCUAACCAAAAGCAUAAGGUUUGGGGAAGUGUUUUGAUUUCCCUACGUAAGCAGUGGUGAUUGUGACCAAAAGGCAAUAUAUAGUCUUUUAAUUUCUGUUUUUACUCUUAAGAGGUCUUCCACUUUUAUGAAAGAAAUGUUUAUUCUACAUCUGCCAAGCUUUCUUUACUGCUUCCAAAGACCUAUUUGAAGAAACUUUCUCACAAUUAGGAAGCUUCAUCUGUCUCAGGAGCACUUUACUAGAGAGAAGAAACAAUAUGAAAUGAACCUUCCUUUUAGAUUUUUAAAAAACUAUGAAUUUCAACUUAAAGAUUUCCUCUAAAUCCUAAAGGCUAGUAAAAGCAUAUACAAGUAUAUUACUAGGUUGACUUUGAGAAUUAUACAUUUUCGGCUCCCUGUCUGAACUUUUCAUCUCUUCAUCUUUUUAUGUUGCAUUCUGAGAUAAUCUACA